AUGGUUAAUUGCCAUUCAUGUUGCACGGAGAGUCAAAGGGAAGCAGCUUUACUAUUAGGGCAAUUUGCUUCAGCCGAUUCAGAUUGCAAGGCACUUUGUCACCUGACUUUUUUCUCUUUGGCCUAUCAAAGUAUAAUAUCCAUUUGCACCAGGAUAUACUCUUGUUUCUUACAUUUGUCUGCAACCUUGAUUUCUUGCAGGUGCAUAUUGUUCAGGGAGGUGCUGUCCGCCCUCUGAUCGGGAUGCUUCAGUCACCAGAUAUUCAACUUAAGGCGAUGACUCACACAAACAAGCUGGUAUUGUCUACAAUGGCGGUUUGGUGCCUCUUCUUAAACUUCUUGACUCAAAAAUUGGAUGUUUGCAACAUAAUGCUGCAUUUGCUCUUUAUGGUAUUGCAGAGAAUGAGGAUAAUGUCUCUGAUUUUAUCAAGGUAGGAGGUGUUCAGAAGCUGCAAGAUGGUGAAUUCAUUAUCCAGGCAACUAAGGACUAUGUAACAAUGACAACGAAGAGAUUAGAGGAGAAGAUUAAUGGGCC